CCAAGGCUAAACAACAGGAUCAUGUACAACAAGUUCCCAGGAAAUCAACUUGAAUACAUACAUGAUCAAAACAAUAGCGAGGGCACAACCAGUGUCGAACAUUACAAGAGCAAGCAUCACAAGUAUAAACAAGUGAAUAAAAGAGAGAUAUAACUAUCUAUUACAUCACAUUUGACAUUCAACAUUUAAUACAACUUGGUUACAUUUAAGCUUCCAAAAUGAAUACAUAAUCAUAUCACAUAUAUAUAAUGCUAGCUAUCCAAAAUACAUCAUGUCAUCUAUAACCAUGCACACGAGGGUGCUCUAGUACAAUAGGAAAGCUCUACUAGCUAGCUAGGGCGCUACGCCCUUACCGCGAUCACCUGCCGGUCCGCUCACGUGUGUACCUGUACCCCAAAACCACACGGGGUGAGAACUAUAAAAAUAUAGUUCCCAGUGGGUUCGGCCGCCGACUCCGCCGAUCUUCCCACUAGGUCUAAGCUGGCACAGAUAGAUAGAUAGAUAGAUAGAUAGAUAGAUAGAUAUUGAACUGCAACUAUGAUCUAUUGUGCCAUCAAAUGCAAGCAAUGCAUGAAGUGUCAACUAGCAAUAAGCCUACUAUCAUGAUAAUAUGCUUCAACGAUGUAAUGAAUACAAAUACGACACAGUUAUGCAAUCCACUAACAUACGCUAUGUCUAAUCAGGGUAUGAAUGCAAAUCUACUUAUGCUAUUCAUGUCAUUUCCCAAUCCACUAGGCUACCCCGCCUAAGAUAUCAAAUCUCAUAGGUACUCACACCACAAUCUAGUAGGUGAAGAGGUGAAGAGCUACCCCGCUCUUCGCCCUGACUGAUUAUCUCAAAUCUCAUAGGUGAGGAGCUACCCUGCUCUUAUCUCACCCGUCUCACAUCUCAAAGGUCAUAGAUGAAGAGCUACCCAACUCUAAUCUCAUAGAUAUUGAGCUGCCCCGCUCAAUCUCAUAGGGGAAAGGCUACCCCGCCCUUCGCCCCAACUCACGUCCCAGUCCAAUGGGUGAGGAGCUACCCCGCUCGUAUCCCACCCGAUGAGCUACCCCGCUCGUGAGCUAUCCCGCUCGUGUGACAACUC
rnacentral:lncRNA from 1 species